AUUGAACGCUGGCGGCAGGCCUAACACAUGCAAGUCGAACGAGUGGCGGACGGGUGAGUAAUGUCUGGGAAACUGCCUGAUGGAGGGGGAUAACUACUGGAAACGGUAGCUAAUACCGCAUACCAUCAGAUGUGCCCAGAGGGGCUUAGCUAGUUGUUGGGGGAACGGCUCACCAAGGCGAGGAUCCCUAGCUGGUCUGAGAGGAGGACCAGCCACACUGGACCUGAGCCACGGUCCAGAUUCCUACGGGAGGCAGCAGUGGGGAAUAUGGCACAAUGGGCGCAAGCCUGCUGCAGCCAUGCGGCGUGGAUGAAGAAGGCCUUCGGGUUGUAAAGUACUUUCAGCGGGGAGGCGUUACCCGCAGAAGAAGCACCGGCUAACUCCGUGCCAGCAGCCGCGGUAAUUC
rnacentral:rRNA from 1 species